rnacentral:tRNA from 1 species
GGCCAGGUAGCUCAGUUGGUUAGAGCAUUGUCCCAAUGUGUCAAGGUUGCAGGUUCAAUCCCUGUCGCCA